GGGCGUUAAGUUGCAGGGUAUAGACCCGAAACCCGGUGAUCUAGCCAUGGGCAGGUUGAAGGUUGGGUAACACUAACUGGAGGACCGAACCGACUAAUGUUGAAAAAUUAGCGGAUGACCUGUGGCUGGGGGUGAAAGGCCAAUCAAACCGGGAGAUAGCUGGUUCUCCCCGAAAGCUAUUUAGGUAGCGCCUCGUGAAUUCAUCUCCGGGGGUAGAGCACUGUUUCGGCUAGGGGGCCAUCCCGGCUUACCAACCCGAUGCAAACUGCGAAUACCGGAGAAUGUUAUCACGGGAGACACACGGCGGGUGCUAACGUCCGUCGUGAAGAGGGAAACAACCCAGACCGCCAGCUAAGGUCCCAAAGUCAUGGUUAAGUGGGAAACGAUGUGGGAAGGCCCAGACAGCCAGGAUGUUGGCUUAGAAGCAGCCAUCAUUUAAAGAAAGCGUAAUAGCUCACUGGUCGAGUCGGCCUGCGCGGAAGAUGUAACGGGGCUAAACCAUGCACCGAAGCUGCGGCAGCGAACGUAUCACUUAAAGCGAUUCAGCGGGUUACGAUUGACGGAGCGAAGCGACGUCAAAGCGUAUACAAAGUCGAGUCGGUUUAAGGAUACGUUCGUUGGGUAGGGGAGCGUUCUGUAAGCCUGUGAAGGUGGCCUGUGAGGGUUGCUGGAGGUAUCAGAAGUGCGAAUGCUGACAUAAGUAACGAUAAAGCGGGUGAAAAGCCCGCUCGCCGGAAGACCAAGGGUUCCUGUCCAACGUUAAUCGGGGCAGGGUGAGUCGACCCCUAAGGCGAGGCCGAAAGGCGUAGUCGAUGGGAAACGGGUUAAUAUUCCCGUACUUGGUGUUACUGCGAAGGGGGGACGGAGAAGGCUAUGUUGGCCGGGCGACGGUUGUCCCGGUUUAAGCGUGUAGGUGUGUGUUCCAGGUAAAUCCGGUUCACUUUAACACUGAGGCGUGACGACGAGGCACUACGGUGCUGAAGCAACAAAUGCCCUGCUUCCAGGAAAAGCCUCUAAGCAUCAGGUAACAUCAAAUCGUACCCCAAACCGACACAGGUGGUCAGGUAGAGAAUACCAAGGCGCUUGAGAGAACUCGGGUGAAGGAACUAGGCAAAAUGGUGCCGUAACUUCGGGAGAAGGCACGCUGACACGUAGGUGAAGUGAUUUACUCAUGGAGCUGAAGUCAGUCGAAGAUACCAGCUGGCUGCAACUGUUUAUUAAAAACACAGCACUGUGCAAACACGAAAGUGGACGUAUACGGUGUGACGCCUGCCCGGUGCCGGAAGGUUAAUUGAUGGGGUCAGCGCAAGCGAAGCUCCUGAUCGAAGCCCCGGUAAACGGCGGCCGUAACUAUAACGGUCCUAAGGUAGCGAAAUUCCUUGUCGGGUAAGUUCCGACCUGCACGAAUGGCGUAAUGAUGGCCAGGCUGUCUCCACCCGAGACUCAGUGAAAUUGAACUCGCUGUGAAGAUGCAGUGUACCCGCGGCAAGACGGAAAGACCCCGUGAACCUUUACUAUAGCUUGACACUGAACAUUGAGCCUUGAUGUGUAGGAUAGGUGGGAGGCUUUGAAGUGUGGACGCCAGUCUGCAUGGAGCCGACCUUGAAAUACCACCCUUUAAUGUUUGAUGUUCUAACGUGGACCCGUAAUCCGGGUUGCGGACAGUGUCUGGUGGGUAGUUUGACUGGGGCGGUCUCCUCCUAAAGAGUAACGGAGGAGCACGAAGGUUGGCUAAUCCUGGUCGGACAUCAGGAGGUUAGUGCAAUGGCAUAAGCCAGCUUGACUGCGAGCGUGACGGCGCGAGCAGGUGCGAAAGCAGGUCAUAGUGAUCCGGUGGUUCUGAAUGGAAGGGCCAUCGCUCAACGGAUAAAAGGUACUCCGGGGAUAACAGGCUGAUACCGCCCAAGAGUUCAUAUCGACGGCGGUGUUUGGCACCUCGAUGUCGGCUCAUCACAUCCUGGGGCUGAAGUAGGUCCCAAGGGUAUGGCUGUUCGCCAUUUAAAGUGGUACGCGAGCUGGGUUUAGAACGUCGUGAGACAGUUCGGUCCCUAUCUGCCGUGGGCGCUGGAGAACUGAGGGGGGCUGCUCCUAGUACGAGAGGACCGGAGUGGACGCAUCACUGGUGUUCGGGUUGUCAUGCCAAUGGCACUGCCCGGUAGCUAAAUGCGGAAGAGAUAAGUGCUGAAAGCAUCUAAGCACGAAACUUGCCCCGAGAUGAGUUCUCCCUGAGACUUAGAGUCUCCUGAAGGAACGUUGAAGACGACGACGUUGAUAGGCCGGGUGUGUAAGCGCAGCGAUGCGUUGAGCUAACCGGUACUAAUGAACCGUGAGGCUUAACCUU
rnacentral:rRNA from 2 species